rnacentral:rRNA from 1 species
GGUGAAAUGAAUUUCGCCUGAGGAUGAGCCCGCGUCUGAUUAGCUAGUUGGUGGGGUAAUGGCCCACCAAGGCGACGAUCAGUAGCUGGUCUGAGAGGAUGAUCAGCCACACUGGGACUGAGACACGGCCCAGACUCCUACGGGAGGCAGCAGUGGGGAAUUUUCCGCAAUGGGCGAAAGCCUGACGGAGCAACGCCGCGUGAGGGAUGAAGGCCUCUGGGCUGUAAACCUCUUUUCUCAAGGAAGAAGACAUGACGGUACUUGAGGAAUAAGCCACGGCUAAUUCCGUGCCAGCAGCCGCGGUAAUACGGGAGUGGCAAGCGUUAUCCGGAAUUAUUGGGCGUAAAGCGUCCGCAGGCGGCCUUGUAAGUCUGUCGUUAAAGCGUGGAGCUUAACUCCAUUUAAGCGAUGGAAACUACAAGGCUUGAGUGUGGUAGGGGCAGAGGGAAUUCCCGGUGUAGCGNUGAAAUGCGUAGAUAUCGGGAAGAACACCAGUGG